rnacentral:rRNA from 1 species
CCUACGGGGUGCUGCAGUGAGGAAUAUUGGUCAAUGGACGAGAGUCUGAACCAGCCAAGUAGCGUGAAGGAUGACUGCCCUAUGGGUUGUAAACUUCUUUUAUAUGGGAAUAAAAUGUUCCACGUGUGGGAUUUUGUAUGUACCAUAUGAAUAAGGAUCGGCUAACUCCGUGCCAGCAGCCGCGGUAAUACGGAGGUUCCGAGCGUUAUCCGGAUUUAUUGGGUUUAAAGGGAGCGUAGGUGGAUUGUUAAGUCAGUUGUGAAAGUUUGCGGCUCAACCGUAAAAUUGCGGUUGAAACUGGCAGUCUUGAGUACAGUAGAGGUGGGCGGAAUUCGUGGUGUAGCGGUGAAAUGCUUAGAUAUCACGAAGAACUCCGAUUGCGAAGGCAGUUCACUGGACUGCAACUGACACUGAGGCUCGAAAGUGUGGGUAUCAAACAGGAUUAGAUACCCUUGUAGUC